CAAUCUCCAGAACUACAACAACAACAGCAGCACAGCUGAAGGCGUGCUUUCUACCAUAGACUUUUCUUCUUUCAGGAAAUACGGUGGAAGGGGAGACAAACCGAAUGUGAGCGCCAGAAAGAAGAGGAGGAAAGGAGGAGAGCUACCUCAGGCUGUCUCUAAGCGCCACAUCGCAUUCAAAGUCAUGACAGUGCCGCAGCCACGCCCACCACAUUGGGUUGUCAACAGGAAAUCACGGAUUCCAAGGAACCCCAGCUCUCCUUGAUGAACUGUUGAAUACUGAUGAAUUCUGGAGGAGGGACCAGUCACUGUGUUCACUUGUGUUCCCAGGAGUAAGCCCUCAGGCUCCAUCGGAUAACCACCAACCCACUUUCACACAGAUGGCUCUGGUUAAGCUCAGGUGAAAAAGCAUGCAUGUGAAAAGGGACCUGUAGGGUAAUGACAGGAAUGGGAGGAAGAUAAGGGAGACAUCACAGCACAUUAUAAACAUAUUUGAAAUUGCCAAAGAAUAAACUUAAUUGGAGUUAUC
rnacentral:lncRNA from 1 species